rnacentral:rRNA from 1 species
GGUUAAAAAGCUCGUAGUUGGAUUUUGGUUAAGAGGGCGCGGUCGGCCGUUUGGUCUGUACUGCGUUGUCUUGACUUCCUGAUGAGGACAUGCCCUUGGUUAACGCUGAGACAUGGAGUCAUCGUGGUUACUUUGAAAAAAUUAGAGUGUUCAAAGCGGGCUUACGCUUGAAUAUAUUAGCAUGGAAUAACACUAUAGGACUCCUGUCCUAUCUCGUUGGUCUCGGGAUGGGAGUAAUGAUUAAGAGGAACAGUUGGGGGCAUUCGUAUUUCAUUGUCAGAGGUGAAAUUCUUGGAUUUAUGAAAGACGAACUUCUGCGAAAGCAUUUGCCAAGGAUGUUUUCAUUAAUCAAGAACGAAAGUUGGGGGCUCGAAGAUGAUUAGAUACCAUCCUAGUCUCAACCAUAAACGAUGCCGACUAGGGAUUGGUGGAUGUUAAUUGAUGACUUCACCAGCACCUUAUGAGAAAUCAAAGUUUUUGGGUUCCGGGGGGAGUAUGGUCGCAAGGCUGAAACUUAAAGGAAUUGACGGAAGGGCACCACCAGGCGUGGAGCCUGCGGCUUAAUUUGACUCAACACGGGGAAACUUACCAGGUCCAGACAUAAGUAUGAUUGACAGAUUGAGAGCUCUU